rnacentral:lncRNA from 1 species
UGGUGAAAAUUGGCAUGUAGAAAGCUGAUGCAUGUACAAUUCAGGAUAUACCUGGUUUCUAUGAAGUUAAACUUAAGGUAAAAUAUUUAGAAAGCUGUGAAAAUUGCAAAAGGAGUAGGUUCAGUAAGACCCCUUUUUGGCCCCAAAAUAUAGCAGUUUUACAUAAUUGUUAAAAUGUAAAUUUUUAGUUAUUUAUUGGACAGUAGAAUGCUUCUGCUACAUAAAUAUGGGCUGUUUUUGACAAUACAAUGCACAUAUAUCGGGUACUAGCACCAUUAAGUCGUGCUAAAUUACUGAUAUC